GCCUGGCCGACAGCCUGGCCUCAGAGGCGUCUGAUGGGCUGCCUACCAAACGCUUCCCCAAGCGAUCCAAAAGGGUUGCUGCAAUCGCUCUAGCCACCUGUGCAAUUUCCUGCUGGAGAUCUGCAGGUGACGUCUCCRAAGGCUCUGCCCUUCUCGCGCUAGCAAAUAACCUUCCACUGAUUGCCAGGGGAGCCCUCCUUAGAACGUGCACUGACGGACGCAGCUYUUUCACCCUCUCCAGCACUUCCUCGAGCACGCUCUCAGCCAGCUCUUCCAGCUCCUGGGCUUCUGUCAGCGAAGUCCAUGCCAGCGUGGUGCGGACUUGGUGAUGCACUUCUUUCGUUACAGGCUUCUGUAAGAGAAACCAGCAGGAAGUGAUGAGUGACUGGUGAAGAAAAGGGUAGAGGAGGGGGAGGAGGUUAAGUUGUUGGACUGGACUCUCUGCGCUCUUCUGCCAUGGCUGCUGCCUGCUCUCAUGACACCUCCGCCUCUUCUCGGAGGCUSGCUUGCACCUUUUCCAGUGCUGAUGGAAAGAAGGUGAGUUUUGAGACCAAGAGGAAAAAAAUAAGUCCUUCUUCCUGCAGCACCCAGCUGCUGUCAUGCUUUGCCUGUCAGGCUGUGCCACAGGACGGAGCCGGGCAGCAUUUAACAUGCCCCGCUAAUGAGAAUCGGGCAACAGCAGGCUCUUCUCUAAGCUAACCUCUGAGCUCCUGCAGGAGGAAACUAACCCGCCAAUGGCUAAGCACYGCCACUAUUGGCCUCAGGGACGCUGCAUGCUUGGCUGCUCGCCACACGAGAAACCAGCAACAGGGACCGUGGGGACACGUGGUGCAGCUAAGGGAUUUGUGCUGAGUGUGGGAGUCUGCGAGCACAAGAGCCCACUAAGAGCGCCAGGCGCACCUGCUCCUGCUCAGCYGGCUGGGGGAGGCGUGCGUCUUCUUCAGGAGCCUCGGGCUUCUCCAUGCUCUCCGCAAUCCUGGCGAGAUACCUUGGAAGAGACAUACAGAUGGCUGAAAGAGAGCGCCUGGAGCUGUCUUGCCCAGACCRUUSCCUGCUCAGCCCCUGCCCUCCUCCUGCUCUGGGCUUCCYGGCUCCAGUGCCCCAAAGAGCUUCCAGCUGCCUUUGCCAGCCUCCAGGCACUGCUUGCACCACUCUAGGCACAACCAGCCUCUGCUCACGCAGCAACUGGGCACUUUCCUGGAACACAAGGCCCCAGGCAGCACCUCGCCGAAGGGCCACGGGCCCGCUCCGAGCGCARGCCUUCCUUGGCYGGCCCAGAGCAGCGCUCUGCUUCAGCCGCGCACCCAGGGCAGGAGAGAAGGACUUCCCUCGGCACUGCCGGCAGGCGCUGGGGGAUGACUUUCCUGGCCGCCCCCAGCCCCAGCCCUGUGAACCCU
rnacentral:lncRNA from 1 species